rnacentral:lncRNA from 10 species
GUCCUUUUUAAUGGGCAGGGGAGUAUAAUUCAGUGGGUUUUAGCCUGUUCCAAAAGUUGGACAGCUAAGUCUAGAGUAUGUGUAUUUAAAUUUUUAAUAGCAGCCAGGCAUGGUGGCUCACACCUGUAAUCCCAGCACUUUGGGAGGCUGAGGCAGGCGGAUCACUUGAAACCAGGAGUUCAAGACCAGCCUGGGAAACAUAGUGAAACCCUGUCUCUAUAAAAAAUAUAAAAAUUAGCUGGGUAUAGUGGUACGUGCCUGUAAUCCCAGCUACUCAAGAGGCUGAGGUGGGGCAAAUUGCUUGAGCCCAGGAGGCAGAGGUUGCAGUGAGCCAAGAUCAGGCCACUGCAUUCCAGCUUGGACAAUAGAACCAGGCCCUGUCAAAAUUACGACAGGACAGGAUAGGACAAUUUAUUUUUCCCAAAAGUUAGAUCACUUAUACUUUCACCAGCAAUUAACACAAGUGUCCAUUUUCUUACAUCUUUGCCUGCACUGUUUGUUGCCAUUUUAUGAAAAUGUUUGCCAAUCAGAUGGAUGAGAUCAGUGCUUUACAAACUGGGUACCCCGGUGCUGGAGAGGUUCUUUGAAGCUGCCCCAGGGCCUCUAAGGGUUGGAGAGGACCACUCAGGAUGGAGUGGAAGGGUGACGGGUGCUGCAGCUGGGGCCAG